AAGGAGUCUAACAUGUGUGCGAGUAUUUGGGCGGCAAACCCGAAUGCGCAAUGAAAGUGACCCUUCGUCGGACGCCUGUCACAGGGCUGCACGAUGGACCGGUCUGGAAACGUUUGUGGAUAGAUCUGAGUAGGAGCACAUAUGCUGGGACCCGAAAGAUGGUGAACUAUGCCUGAAUAGGGCGAAGCCAGAGGAAACUCUGGUGGAGGCUCGCAGCGGUUCUGACGUGCAAAUCGAUCGUCAAAUUUGGGUAUAGGGGCGAAAGACUAAUCGAACCAUCUAGUAGCUGGUUCCCUC
rnacentral:misc_RNA from 1 species